GUUUAUUUAGUAUAAAUGUAUAUUUAGCUUCCAACUAGAAGGAUCAAAAUUGAAAUAAACA
rnacentral:tRNA from 1 species